GAUGAACGCUGGCGGCGUGCCUAAUACAUGCAAGUCGAGCGAACAGACGAGGAGCUUGCUCCUCUGACGUUAGCGGCGGACGGGUGAGUAACACGUGGAUAACCUACCUAUAAGACUGGGAUAACUUCGGGAAACCGGAGCUAAUACCGGAUAAUAUAUUGAACCGCAUGGUUCAAUAGUGAAAGACGGUUUUGCUGUCACUUAUAGAUGGAUCCGCGCCGCAUUAGCUAGUUGGUAAGGUAACGGCUUACCAAGGCAACGAUGCGUAGCCGACCUGAGAGGGUGAUCGCCCACACUGGAACUGAGACACGGUCCAGACUCCUACGGGAGGCAGCAGUAGGGAAUCUUCCGCAAUGGGCGAAAGCCUGACGGAGCAACGCCGCGUGAGUGAUGAAGGUCUUCGGAUCGUAAAACUCUGUUAUUAGGGAAGAACAAAUGUGUAAGUAACUAUGCACGUCUUGACGGUACCUAAUCAGAAAGCCACGGCUAACUACAUG
rnacentral:rRNA from 1 species